rnacentral:tRNA from 1 species
GUUCUCGCAGGUCGAGGCCAUCGGCCCGUUAGAGGAACCACCGCUCUCCUAGAGCGGGUGCCGCAGGUUCGAAUCCUGCCGGGGGCACC